CCUACGGGUGGCAGCAGUGAGGAAUAUUGGUCAAUGGGCGAGAGCCUGAACCAGCCAAGUCGCGUGAGGGAGUACUGCCCUAUGGGUUGUAAACCUCUUUUGUCGGGGAGCAAAAGCCGGACGUGUCCGGCUGUGAGAGUACCCGAAGAAAAAGCAUCGGCUAACUCCGUGCCAGCAGCCGCGGUAAUACGGGGGAUGCGAGCGUUAUCCGGAUUUAUUGGGUUUAAAGGGUGCGCAGGCGGAUUUUUAAGUCAUCGGUAAAAUCGUGGGGCUCAACCCCAUCCAGCCGUUGAAACUGGGGAUCUAGAGUGUGCGAGAGGUAUGCGGAAUGCGUGGUGUAGCGGUGAAAUGCAUAGAUAUCACGCAGAACCCCGAUUGCGAAGGCAGCAUACCGGUGCACAACUGACGCUCAGGCACGAAAGCGUGGGUAUCGAACAGGAUUAGAUACCCGGGUAGUC
rnacentral:rRNA from 1 species